UCAAUGGGGAUACCUUGAGAGUUUGUGCUCUCCAGCUCUGUUCAUGUGGCGUGUGGGAGUGUAGGCCUUUGCGCUCUGUGACAUAUAGUCCCCUUCCACACCAUUGGAGAGAAAGCCGGGCCCUGAGGUCUGCAGCCUGCAUAUUCCUAAUUCUUCUCCAAGUCUUUGGGCUGUGAUGGAGGAGAUAAACCAUGCAGGAGACACUA
rnacentral:snoRNA from 1 species